rnacentral:rRNA from 1 species
ACGGGAGGCAGCAGUGGGGGAUAUUGCACAAUGGGGGAAACCCUGAUGCAGCGAUGCCGCGUGAGGGAAGAAGGUUUUCGGAUUGUAAACCUCUGUCUUUGGGGAAGAUGAUGACGGUAUCCAAAGAGGAAGCUCCGGCUAACUACGUGCCAGCAGCCGCGGUAAUACGUAGGGGGCGAGCGUUGUCCGGAUUUACUGGGUGUAAAGGGAGUGUAGGCGGAUCUGUAAGUUGAAUGUGAAAUUUAUGGGCUUAACCCAUAAACUGCGUUCAAAACUGUGGAUCUUGAGUGGAGUAGAGGCAGAUGGAAUUCCUGGUGUAGCGGUGGAAUGCGUAGAUAUCAGGAGGAACGCCGGUGGCGAAAGCGAUCUGCUGGGCUCUAACUGACGCUGAGGCUCGAAAGCAUGGGGAGCAAACAGGAUUAGAUACCCUGGUA